rnacentral:tRNA from 1 species
GGGGAUGUGGCUCAAGUGGUAGCGCGCUCGCCUAGCAUGCGUGCGGCCCGGGUUCAAUCCUCAGCAGCACCA